rnacentral:snRNA from 1 species
AGCUUUGCGCAGUGGCAGUAUUGUACCCAAUGAGGUUUAUCCAAGGCAUGAUUAUUGCUAACAGAAAGCCAUGGAUGGUCCC